AUAGGGGAGCCGAAGGGAAACCGAGUCUUAACCGGGCGUUAAGUUGCAGGGUAUAGACCCGAAACCCGGUGAUCUAGCCAUGGGCAGGUUGAAGGUUGGGUAACACUAACUGGAGGACCGAACCGACUAAUGUUGAAAAAUUAGCGGAUGACCUGUGGCUGGGGGUGAAAGGCCAAUCAAACCGGGAGAUAGCUGGUUCUCCCCGAAAGCUAUUUAGGUAGCGCCUCGUGAAUUCAUCUCCGGGGGUAGAGCACUGUUUCGGCUAGGGGGCCAUCCCGGCUUACCAACCCGAUGCAAACUGCGAAUACCGGAGAAUGUUAUCACGGGAGACACACGGCGGGUGCUAACGUCCGUCGUGAAGAGGGAAACAACCCAGACCGCCAGCUAAGGUCCCAAAGUCAUGGUUAAGUGGGAAACGAUGUGGGAAGGCCCAGACAGCCAGGAUGUUGGCUUAGAAGCAGCCAUCAUUUAAAGAAAGCGUAAUAGCUCACUGGUCGAGUCGGCCUGCGCGGAAGAUGUAACGGGGCUAAACCAUGCACCGAAGCUGCGGCAGCGACGCUGAUGCGUUGUUGGGUAGGGGAGCGUUCUGUAAGCCUGCGAAGGUGGCCUGUGAGGGUUGCUGGAGGUAUCAGAAGUGCGAAUGCUGACAUAAGUAACGAUAAAGCGGGUGAAAAGCCCGCUCGCCGGAAGACCAAGGGUUCCUGUCCAACGUUAAUCGGGGCAGGGUGAGUCGACCCCUAAGGCGAGGCCGAAAGGCGUAGUCGAUGGGAAACGGGUUAAUAUUCCCGUACUUGGUGUUACUGCGAAGGGGGGACGGAGAAGGCUAUGUUGGCCGGGCGACGGUUGUCCCGGUUUAAGCGUGUAGGUGUGUGUUCCAGGUAAAUCCGGUUCACUUUAACACUGAGGCGUGACGACGAGGCACUACGGUGCUGAAGCAACAAAUGCCCUGCUUCCAGGAAAAGCCUCUAAGCAUCAGGUAACAUCAAAUCGUACCCCAAACCGACACAGGUGGUCAGGUAGAGAAUACCAAGGCGCUUGAGAGAACUCGGGUGAAGGAACUAGGCAAAAUGGUGCCGUAACUUCGGGAGAAGGCACGCUGACACGUAGGUGAAGUGAUUUACUCAUGGAGCUGAAGUCAGUCGAAGAUACCAGCUGGCUGCAACUGUUUAUUAAAAACACAGCACUGUGCAAACACGAAAGUGGACGUAUACGGUGUGACGCCUGCCCGGUGCCGGAAGGUUAAUUGAUGGGGUCAGCGCAAGCGAAGCUCCUGAUCGAAGCCCCGGUAAACGGCGGCCGUAACUAUAACGGUCCUAAGGUAGCGAAAUUCCUUGUCGGGUAAGUUCCGACCUGCACGAAUGGCGUAAUGAUGGCCAGGCUGUCUCCACCCGAGACUCAGUGAAAUUGAACUCGCUGUGAAGAUGCAGUGUACCCGCGGCAAGACGGAAAGACCCCGUGAACCUUUACUAUAGCUUGACACUGAACAUUGAGCCUUGAUGUGUAG
rnacentral:rRNA from 2 species